rnacentral:rRNA from 1 species
UACGGGGGGGGCAAGCGUUGUUCGGAAUUACUGGGCGUAAAGGGCUCGUAGGUGGCCAACUAAGUCGGACGUGAAAUCCCUCAGCUUAACUGGGGAACUGCGUCCGAUACUGGAUGGCUUGAGUUUGGGAGAGGGAUGCGGAAUUCCAGGUGUAGCGGUGAAAUGCAUAGAUAUCUGGAGGAACACCGGUGGCGAAGGCGGCAUCCUGGACCAACACUGACACUGAGGAGCGAAAGCCAGGGGAGCAAACGGG